rnacentral:rRNA from 1 species
GACGAACGCUGGCGGCGUGCUUAACACAUGCAAGUCGAAUGAUGAAGCCGGAGCUUGCUCUGGUGAAUUAGUGGCGAACGGGUGAGUAACACGUGAGUAACCUGCCCUUGACUCUGGGAUAACUGCUAGAAAUGGUAGCUAAUACCGGAUACGACCCUCGGAGGCAUCUCCAGGGGGUGGAAAGAAUUUCGGUCAAGGAUGGACUCGCGGCCUAUCAGCUAGUUGGUGAGGUAACGGCUCACCAAGGCGACGACGGGUAGCCGGCCUGAGAGGGUGACCGGCCACACUGGGAAUGAGACACGGCCCAGACUCCUACGGGAGGCAGCAGUGGGGAAUAUUGCACAAUGGGCGCAAGCCUGAUGCAGCAACGCCGCGUGAGGGAUGACGGCCUUCGGGUUGUAAACCUCUUUUAGUAGGGAAGAAGCGAAAGUGACGGUACCUGCAGAAAAAGCACCGGCUAACUACGUGCCAGCCGCCGCAGUAA